rnacentral:lncRNA from 1 species
GUCCGGGGCUAUCCCCGGGCUUCUCGCGCCGCCGCCCGCAAAUUCCCUGGGCUCGGCUGACGCUCACUUCGGGUCAAAUGGCGCCCGGGACAUCAGCGCCCCCCUCCGGCCGGGCCCCCAGCCGGACCCGCUGAGCGACCGCGGGGCCCUUCUCCCGACUAGCGGCAGCUGCGUCACUCAAAUUUUCUGUAGCCGUUAAACGCGACGGCACUCGGGGUUCGAAAUCCGAACGCGGCGGCGGGAAGGGGCGUGUGUCCUGACGUCACUCAGCCGUGACCGCCCCUGGGGAGGGGGGAGGAAACCUGGGCUUUGCGCGUGCGCACGUGUUUGUUCGUUCACUCCCUGUGCGUUUGUUUGCAGGUGACCGCGGCCGAAGGGGAAGCGCGGGAGGAGGUAAGUGCCGGGCUCCCUGCGCGGGCUCCCCGGGGAGGGGCGCGGAGCAGGGACCCGACUCUCACGCUGUCUCUGUCUCUCUUUCUAGCCCAAGAGGCGGUCUGCACGUCUGUCAGCUAAACCUGCCCCCGCCAAAGCCGAGCCCAAGCCAAAAAAGGCAGCAGCAGCAAAGGAUAAAUCUGAGGACAGGAAAGCUCAAUCAAAGGGGAAAAAAGGACCAAAAGGAAAACAGAUUGAGGGGACUAAUCAAGAAGAAACAAACGAUAACUUGCCUGCAGAA